ACGGCUCAGUAACACGUAGGUAACCUACCCUUCGGACGGGCACAACCCCGGGAAACUGGGGCUAAUUCCCGAUAGGUACCCCCUUCUGGAAUGUGGGGAUAUCCAAAGCUCCGGCGCCGAAGGAUGGGCCUGCGGCCGAUUAGGUUGUUGGCGGGGUAACAGCCCACCAAGCCGACGAUCGGUACGGGCAGUGAGAGCUGUAGCCCGGAGAUGGGGACUGAGACAAGGCCCCAGGCCCUACGGGGCGCAGCAGGCGCGAAACCUUCACAAUGCACGAAAGUGUGAUGAGGGUACUCCGAGUGCGCAUACAUUGUAUGUGCUUUUCUGCAGCGUAAAUAGUUGCAGGAAUAAGGGCUGGGCAAGACCGGUGCCAGCCGCCGCGGUAACACCGGCAGCCCUAGUGGUGGCCGCUUUUAUUGGGCCUAAAGCGUCCGUAGCCGGACAGGCGAGUCUUUGGGUAAAUCCUACGUCUUAAGCGUGGGAAUUCUAAAGAUACUACCUGUCUUGAGGCCGGGAGAGGCUGGAGGUACCCCUGGGGUAGGGGUAAAAUCCUAUAAUCCUGGGGGGACCACCGAUGGCGAAGGCAUCCAGCUGGAACGGGCCUGACGGUGAGGGACGAAACCCAGGGGAGCGAGCCGGAUUAGAUACCCGGGUAGUCCUGGGCGUAAAUGAUGUGGGCUUGGUGUGAGCGCAUCGACGAGGUGCGCUUGUGCCGUAGGGAAGCCGUUAAGCCCACCGCCUGGGGAGUACGGUCGCAAGGCUGAAACUUAAAGGAAUUGGCGGGGGAG
rnacentral:rRNA from 1 species